rnacentral:lncRNA from 1 species
AUAUGUGAGGAUCACAAGCGCUUGGUAAAUUGGUUUUGAUUCAAGAUAUCAUCCCAUUCAGAGAAUAUUAAUGGAGAUAUAUGUCAUUGCUGAUACUCAUGGAUUGAGAGUUAUGGUUAUGAGGAUCAGAUGACACCAAAGGUUACGAAGUUAUAUGUACAGUAUGAGAGUGAAACAACUUAACCGUGAUAAAGGUACCAUAAUUGGAACUUAGUAAUGAAACUAACCUUGGAUCAAGAGACUCGGUACAACGAAUGUAAAAGACUAUGAUGUGUAGCGUCCAAAAAGGAUAGGAGAACUAGUCCUUAGUGUCCCCCAAUCAAUCUCAUUUUAAGGGGAGUAGCACCUUGAUAUUACGGGAUGAUGCAUUAUAAAACUAUCUUGAAGUGAUAAUUGUCUUCUGAGAUAUUCUAUGAUUAUGGUCAUCUAUAAGAAGUUUAAGUUUUGUUAAGAUUGAUCUUUGGUUCGAGCCACCCUUAGUUGUGAGAUCAAUUUUCACCAUACUUAACAUGUACCUGAGACGUGAUGUGGAGCAUGGAAGUACUAUCUUCUUGGACAUAAAAAAAUAUAAAAAAAAUGUCAUCAAGGUAGAUCAUAAGAACCUAAGGAAAAUUUUCACUAAGUUGAUUCUAAGUUGUUGACAUCAUCAUUGGUUUGGUAUUGAACAAGGUUAUGACUUCAAAAAGUGCUAUCACUUGGAGAUAGAUUACUAGAGGGUGC